AAGACGAAAAGUCCCCAUUGAGCUUUACUAAAGACUUAUAUGGCUCGAAUAACUUAAAUAAAAAGUUUAGAUAAUGUGGGAUCCGUUUUUGGUUAAUGAGACACCACUCUUUUAUUUUAAGAGAACUAACCUUAUAGGGAGAAUGUAAGUUAGAUAGUUUGGUUGGGGCGACCACCUUUUAAAAGGUAACGAAGGUGAGCUUAAGGUCCGUAGUUAAUAGCUAGAGGCCUGACUGCAAGGGGGACACCCCGAGCAGACACAUCCUUAAGGAUGUGGGUUAUAGUGACCCGUCAUCUUAGAGUGGAAUAGUUGACGAUCAACGAAUAAAA
rnacentral:rRNA from 1 species